rnacentral:rRNA from 1 species
AGCAGCCGCGGUAAUUCCAGCUCCAAUAGCGUAUAUUAAAGUUGCUGCAGUUAAAAAGCUCGUAGUUGAAUUUCGGGACCAUCAUGUCGGUCGUGCCUCGGUACGUACUGGUAUUGUUGGUUUCCCCCUUCUGACGAACCAUGAUGUCAUUUAUUUGGUGUUGUGGGGAAUCAGGACUGUUACUUUGAAAAAAUUAGAGUGUUUAAAGCAGGCUCACGCUUGAAUACAUUAGCAUGGAAUAAUGAAAUAGGACGUUUGAUUCUAUUUUGUUGGUUUCUAGGAUCGACGUAAUGAUUAAUAGGGAUAGUUGGGGGCAUUAGUAUUCAAUUGUCAGAGGUGAAAUUCUUGGAUUUAUUGAAGACUAACUACUGCGAAAGCAUUUGCCAAGGAUGUUUUCAUUAAUCAAGAACGAAAGUUAGGGGAUCGAAGACGAUCAGAUACCGUCGUAGUCUUAACCAUAAACUAUGCCGACUAGGGAUCGGAUGAUGUAAUUUUUAAUGACUCAUUCGGCGCCUUAC